CAGUCUGCGGGCGGGAGGGUGCCGGCGAGGUGGCGAGGGCGGCAGGUGCGGGGGCGCAGCAGCCCUGGCCAAGCCCAGAGACCGGAGGACACCCCCUCCCAGAGCUCUAACACAGGCAACUUCCCACUGCCGGGGAAGGAGUUUCUCCGUUGCCCACGGACAUCCAGGAGGCGCUGUGGAGGGCAAGCAGGGUAACCCCCACUCCUAACCCACAUCUAUCCAAGGGGAGCCAGAGGAGCCAGCAGGUCCGGACUCGCUGAGGGGGCUCCACGCGGGGCCUCCCACGCACAGGAUAACAACUAUUAUCAAAGGUUCGCUAUAAAAGAGGAUGCUCAAUUUUGGUAGAGUUGCAAGAGGACCCAGCCCAAUUUUUCAACCAGUGAGUUGAGUUCCCUCUACGGUAACUCUCCUUGCUGCCAGUUUGAACAACUCCAGAGUGGGAAUUGAUAACCUGCCCAAGCACUCUGCUCCAUCACCAGGGAGCUAGUGUUUACAAACAACUGAACAGGAAGAACAGAAGCUGCCACUCAGUACCUCCUGUGUGACAGUCCUGGGUGUGUCUUCAAGGCUUCAGAGGAAGUGACAGUUCUGCAGGAGAGCUUCCUGAUAUCCACAGAUGCCACUGGCUCCACACACUCCCACCUGUCCAUCCCCAAUAUUUCUGUCCAGACAGACUCUUCUCUAUAUGACCUGAUUUGGGUGCCCCUUGUUUUACGGGUCAAUCUAGAUACUGUGCUAAGAGUGAGGGAUUCAGAGAAAAUGGAUAAUUGAGUUCAAUGGACAUUUUAUAGACUCUUGACUAACGUAUGCCACCCACUGCACCAAGGUCUGGAAGCACAGAGAUGAUGGAGAAACAUCUCUUUUCUCCAGGAGCUCAGCUGGGAGUGAAAUCCCACAGAACAGCAGAGAAAAUGACAAGGAACAACUUGUUGCCAGGCAGGUGACAAAUCAAGAAACAUGAAGCUAAACUGAAGAAAGAUGAGUCACUCACCAGGUGACGAAAUCACGAAAUGAAAUUACACAGUGUCUCGUCUGAUUUGUGCUGCCGUAACGGAAUGUCUGAAGACAGAUCAUUUAUAAAGAAGAUCCAUUUACUCUGGCUCAUGGAUCUACAAGGCCAAGAGCAAGAUGCUACCAUCUUUUCAGUUUCUGGUGAAAGCCACGUGUUUCCUGAGGUCCCCUCUGCCUGAUCCCCUCUCUUCUGCCUCUUCGCAUGACCAGGAAGUAGUGGACAGAAAGCACCCACCUCAGAGGAUGGAGCCUAUGCCUGUUUGUCCUUGUGGUAGACAGCUCUUCCUUGACUCCCUUCAGGAAACACAAAACAUGGGCCGACCUGAGCUGGGACUUAGCUGAGAAGCAGAACCAUCCAAUCAACAGUCCCUCAAUGUUCACCCAGCUGGGACCUCUCUGCUCCCUGGCUAAGGCCUCAGGGACCUCCAGGUAGAGUGGGAAAGACCCAGGCUACUGGGGAGCAGGGCUCCUGGAAAGCUUUCCUACCUUCAUUCUGGGAGCAAGGGUCACCGAAGUUGUUUAAGACCAUGGAGGUGGGGGGAGGGUGCAAAUGGGGCCUGGCUUGGAGCCUCCACCUUUCCUCAUCAUACCAUGGUAUCUGCUGAAGCUGAUCAGAAUCCAGGCCUUAGCCCAGAGGUGUCCAGAGACGGCAUCUUCUGGAAGGCUCUUGGUGAGUCUACAGGGGGAAUUGGGUGUGCUGAUGCUGUGGAAUCCAGGACACAGAAGAUCCUUGCAAUGGCUGAAUCCCAGUCAUCCCAGGGGACCAUAAAAUCCUCACAGAGCGGGAGAGGAGAGAGACUCCAGCUGCCUCACACAUCAGGGCACGUGACCCAUCUGCUCUCUACCCGCCCCGGCAGGUCCCGCCUCUGCUUUCUUGAACCCAUCUGCAGAUGCAAGCCCUGGCCUGGGAGGGCCGGCACCCCCUGCAGCCCUUCUGAAGCUGCCUCCUUUGGAUCUUUUUGCGGUCUGGGCUUGCUGUUCUCUCGACAGUAGUCAGGAAGCCCUUACCCCAAAAAGUAUCUACGGGGGGCGUGGCCUACAGGGGGGCUCCAAGGGUUCCAGGUGAGUCAUACCAAACCCAAGAUUACCAGGUGAAUCCACACAUCCUUGCCAUAUGUUUGUGUUGCUGGGUGACCACAGGUCAAGCCCUAAAGCUGUGCUUCUCAACCUUCCUAAUGCUGUGACCCCUUAUACAGUUACUCAUGUUGUGGUGACCCCUAACCAUAAAAUUGUUAAAUUGCUACUUCAUAACUAAUUUUCCCCUUUAUGAAUUGUAAAUAUCUGAUAUGCAGGUUAUCUGAUAUGUGACCCCCAAAAGGGUUGUGACCCACAGGUUGAGAACUGCUGCCCUAAGGCUUUCUGCGCCCCAGUCACCUCCUACCUGUAGCCCUUGCCUGGUAGGCAGUGUUCAUUGAGAGUGGCUCCAGUCUAGGCCAGAGAAGACCACUUGGGUGGAUGUUGCUGGCCACCGUGGGCACUCCCGGCAGGACGGUCACUCGGUAUGUCCAACCCUCCCUGUGCAUCGAGGAGACAUGAGAUCCGAGACAGGCCUGGCUGUCGGUGUGCAGACCGGGGACUGGGAAACCACAGUUGAUCGGACGGAUCCCAGCAGCCAUGCGAAGAGAAGAUGAUGAGCUUCUGCCCAGGAUGAGGUGCCUGGCAUCUGCCCUCUCUUAGCCUGAGUGGCCACUACCUGCUUCCUCCCGCGAGUCACUACAAAUCCUUCAAAUAAAAUCCUUGACUGUUCAUGUAAACAGAGUGGAUACCUUUACUUACCGCUGAUUCAGAGCCCUCUAGAGGGAGGAGGGGGGAUUGCACACGCUGGAGUAAAGGGCCCGACCUGGGAGAAAUCUGUCACCGUCCUGAGAGGAGGCCACUUGGGUGCGUUGACGAGGGUCCAUAGUCAAGGGCCGCCGAGUUAAAAUCCAGAGGAACUAUCUAAAGGUGAGUGCCGUGUGGAGAUAAAGAUCAGAGGAUCGACAUAACAUAGAAAGAUUUAAAAUCACCGGGUCCUCAGUUUCCAGAGGUGGUAAGGACAGGUAAUGACAAUUUGACGGAGUUGGGGAUGCCUCUGCAGCUGUGGUGAAGUCACAGCCGGUCGGGGGUGACCACAUGGGUAUCCAUCUCAUUCCCCUCCUCCCCCAUCCCACCAAGGUUGAAAGGCCCCAAGCACAGAGGAGGCCAGGCUCGGUGCCUUUCCUUAUCUGGAUCUUUCUACGCUCUACAUCCAGGUGCGGGGUGGGGGGCAGCCCAAGGCGAGGGGUACAGCGUCAAUCUCAUUGUCAACAAAGCCACAGACCUUGAGAAAUGAAGCCCCCAGAAGGCUCCAUCCCCGUGCAGAAGCCACAGGAGGCAAAUCUAAGGCGGCGCGUGAGCGGGUGUGCGAACCUCGCUGAGCUCAAGUGAGCCUGAGUGGGGCUGGGAGUGCGCUGCGGAGGUUCGGGGAGGAGAGCUGAGUUCACAGGUCAGAAUCGGGAACCAUAGGUGUGGGGGGCAAACGCCCCCACUUGGAGACAGGCAGACAUCAGCAGAGAAGGCAUGUCCUCGACGGGCCACCUUACAAGGCUGACUCAUCUUGUGACCACAGGCCCUGAUGCUCCCGGACCUCCCCAUUCUGACCCCCAAACACAGCAGAUUCUCUAGGCUGCCAGCCCCCGCGUGCGAGUGGCAACGGUGUGCAUGGCUCACGGGCGGCAUCGUGCGGUCAUCGUGGGGCAGUUCCCUUUACAGCCUCCAUUGUGAGUUACUCUAGAGGACAGCAGUCUUUCCCAGCAGAUUAGGAAAGCAAAGCCGUCCCAUCCCAAAGGGCGCAGAGCCUGGGGCGGGGUGGCAGUAUGUGGGAAAGGUUGAUAAUGUGAGGCGUCCUUCAGUGAGCUUGUUUACAGCUCGCUCAUCACUUGGGACGAAUCACCCCCUCAAAAUGGGUUUCUGCGUCUACAAUCUGGACAUUUGACUGCCCUUUGCUCUUUAGUCGAGUAUCUCAAGUCACAGUUCUGCUCCUUCGGGGAGCUGUUCCCGUUAGAAGGAAUCUUUCAGAAAAGAUUUCAGCUUCCGAUGUACAUAGGAAGAACCUGGCCUUCUGAGCCGGUCAGAUCUGGAGCCAGAGAUCCCAGUCUUCCUGUACUAGCUGUGUGCUCUCGGGACAGCCGCGAACCCUCCCAGGGCUUGUCUCCUCAUCCACAAAAGAAGCACCCGAUGCCUUCAACCAGAACUGAAGGUGGAACCCAGGGACAUCAUAAAAAGCCUCCGCUCACACCGUUCCAGGCUUCAGCUUGGGUGGAUUCAUGAGAAAGGAAUCCAGGUAUUGACAUUUGGAAAUGGGAGUUGCUGAAUGCCUAAGGAGUGCGGUUCUACAGCAGUACCCUGGGAAAGACAGAGAAAGAAAAAAGCUAAAGGAAAAACUAGUUUUGAAGUAUUGCAACCUUACAGCAAAAUACAAAGAGAAAUAGAACAAGGACCUCGUACCCUGCCCAAGAAACAACAGAAGCUAACAUUUUGCUGCAUUUGCAUCAGAUUCUUAAAACAAACAACAACAACAAUAAAAGACCUUGAACACCUG